rnacentral:rRNA from 1 species
GACGAACGCUGGCGGCGUGCUUAACACAUGCAAGUCGAACGAAGUGGCGAACGGGUGAGUAACGCGUAAUCAACCUGCACUUCAGAGGGGGACAACAGUUGGAAAAGACUGCUAAUACCGCAUACUGAAGGAGGGGAUUGCGUCUGAUUCGCUAGUUGGCGGGGUAAAGGCCCACCAAGGCGAUGAUCAGUAGCCGGUCUGAGAGGAUGAACGGCCACAUUGGGACUGAGAACCGGCCCAGACUCCUCCGGGAGGCAGCAGGGGGGAAGCUUCCGCAAUGGACGAAAGUCUGACGGAGCAACGCCGCGUGAGUGAUGACGGCCUUCGGGUUUUAAAGCUCUGUUAAUCGGGACGCGGUACCGGAAUAGAAAGCCACGGCUAACCACGUGCCAGCAGCCGCGGUAAUAC